rnacentral:tRNA from 2 species
UCCUGCUUAGCUCAGUUGGUAGACCACUCCAUUGAAAAUGGAGAGGUCCCUGGUUCGAUACCAGGACCAGACA